GACGAACGCUGGCGGCGUGCUUAACACAUGCAAGUCGAACGGAAAGGCCCUGCUUUUGUGGGGUGCUCGAGUGGCGAACGGGUGAGUAACACGUGAGUAACCUGCCCUUGACUUUGGGAUAACUUCAGGAAACUGGGGCUAAUACCGGAUAGGAGCUCCUGCUGCAUGGUGGGGGUUGGAAAGUUUCGGCGGUUGGGGAUGGACUCGCGGCUUAUCAGCUUGUUGGUGGGGUAGUGGCUUACCAAGGCUUUGACGGGUAGCCGGCCUGAGAGGGUGAACGGCCACAUUGGGACUGAGAUACGGCCCAGACUCCUACGGGAGGCAGCAGUGGGGAAUAUUGCACAAUGGGCGGAAGCCCGAUGCAGCAACGCCGCGUGCGGGAUGACGGCCUUCGGGUUGUAAACCGCUUUCGCCUGUGACGAAGCGUGAGUGACGGUAAUGGGUAAAGAAGCACCGGCUAACUACGUG
rnacentral:rRNA from 1 species